CGUGUAGGCGGUUGGUCAAGUCCGGUGUGAAAGCCCGGAGGCUCAGCUUCGGAAGUGCAUCCGAAACUAGCCGACUGGAGCGCGAUAGAGGAGGGUGGAAUUCCUGGUGUAGCGGUGAAAUGCGUAGAUAUCAGGAGGAACACCGGCGGCGAAGGCGGCCCUCUGGAUCGUUGCUGACGCUGAGACGCGAAAGCGUGGGUAGCAAACAGGAUUAGAUACCCUGGUAGUCCACGCCCUAAACGGUGGGUACUAGGUGUAGGGCUCGUAAGGGUUCUGUGCCGAAGGGAAACCAUUAACGUACCCCGCCUGGGGAGUACGGCCGCAAGGUUGAA
rnacentral:rRNA from 1 species